UACGUAGGUGGCAAGCGGUGUCCGGAUUUAUUGGGUUUAAAGGGUGCGUAGGCGGUUUUGUAAGUCAGUGGUGAAAUAUGUCAGCUUAACUGAGAGGGUGCCAUUGAUACUGCAGAACUUGAGUACAGAUGAGGUAGGCGGAAUUGACGGUGUAGCGGUGAAAUGCUUAGAUAUCGUCAAGAACACCUAUAGCGAAGGCAGCUUACUAGGCUGUAACUGACGCUGAGGCACGAAAGUGUGGGGAUCAAACAGG
rnacentral:rRNA from 1 species